rnacentral:rRNA from 1 species
GUUGGGUAGGGGAGCGUUCUGUAAGCCUGUGAAGGUGUGUCGUGAGGCAUGCUGGAGGUAUCAGAAGUGCGAAUGCUGACAUAAGUAACGAUAAAGCGGGUGAAAAGCCCGCUCGCCGGAAGACCAAGGGUUCCUGUCCAACGUUAAUCGGGGCAGGGUGAGUCGACCCCUAAGGCGAGGCCGAAAGGCGUAGUCGAUGGGAAACGGGUUAAUAUUCCCGUACUUGGUGUUACUGCGAAGGGGGGACGGAGAAGGCUAUGUUGGCCGGGCGACGGUUGUCCCGGUUUAAGCGUGUAGGCUGGUUUUCCAGGCAAAUCCGGAAAAUCAAGG